CAGGAACCCCCAGCCGGAAAUAUCUCUCCCGGAAAUCCCUCCUCCUGCACUUCCCCAACCAAUGGGAACUCUCGGGGAAUCCCCGGAAAUCCCCACGAGAACUCCAAAAUAGUGCGAGAACUCAAAAGUUGCGGCAGAGGCGGAUAGUAAUGCCUCGCCUGUCAAUCAAUACUGUUGGCAAAAUGCCAGGGGCCAUACAGACUCCGCCGUGGCUCUCAGCAGAAGUGCUUGGAGGGUAUCAUGCCCAGAGAGAUGCACAUCUUACAUUUGGCUCUUCAUCUGUAUCCUUCGUCAUAGCUAAUCUAAUAUUUGGAUAAAUAAAAGAAAAGUGUUUCCCUUAGUUCUCUGUGCCAUCCUAGAAAAUUAUGAAAACUGUGGUGGGGGCCAAAGUCAUAGGAAUUCCAAUUUAUAGCCAGUUAGCCAAAAGCACAAACUGAGACUUUUGAUUGGUACCUGAAGUGAAAGAAAUUGUUUUUUGUUUGUUCAUUUUGGUACUGAAGAUUUAACCCAGAGGGUAUUUUACCACUGCCAUCCCCAGUCCUUUCUAUUUUAUCUUAUUUUAUGUUAUUUUUGAGAUGGGCCUUAUUGAGUUGCUGAAAUUCUCUCUAAGUUGCUGAGGCUAGCCUUGCACUUGUUAUCCUCGUGCCUCAGCCUCCCAAGCAGAGGUGUUACAGGCCUGAGCCAUCAUGCCCAGCAAAGUGAAGCAGUCUUUUGGAACUGAGCUCUUAAACUGUGGAGUUCAAAUCUGACUCUAUGUAGAUAAUAUUAGAAUUGAAUUGUAGAACACACAAUUGAUUUCCACUGAAGAGUUGCUUGGUGUGUGAGGAAAUUCCCCAUACAUCUGGCAUUAGAAGUUUUCUAUAUUGUGUUGAGUAUGUGAAAAAUAGAAAAAGUAGUUGGGUUUUUGAACCAUUCAAUCUGUGGCAUUUUGUUACAUCAUCAUUAGCAGAUGAGUACAUAUGGUAUUCAGUAAAUAUUUAAAGUAUGUCAGUUCUUGUUAUUAUCUAUCAUUUUCCAAGCCCUUGAGAGGCUACCACCUCUCCUGUUAGAUUCUCAGAAUUAAAAGACUGAUCCAUCCUAUAUACUUAACUACCUCUGGGCAUUAUAGUUCUCAUUUCCUAUUAUCAGAAGAUAUUUUCAGUCUUGGCUUUUAUUUCUUUAAAUGGUCAGUAUGGUGUUUUUAGAAUCUGCACUUGGUAAUUCAAAUUUCAAAUUUUUCUGAUAGCUUUUUGGAGAC
rnacentral:lncRNA from 1 species